ACUAACUCUCAUAGAUAUGUAUCAUGUAUGUAUCUAUUAUGACAAAUUCUGCUCGCUCGCUCGCUUGGUUCGUGUUAUAAAAAUAAAUGUAACUUUACUGCGGUCUUUUUCGGUUUAUUUAGUUUUGUGUUAACUAUAUCCACAAAGUAUUCGAAUAAAUUGGUAAUAUAAAACUAUUCUUCGCUGUAAAUUAAUUGUGUGCUCAAUUGCGACGCCCUGUGUUGAAUUUUCCCGCGAGUACAGUAUCAUUACUGAGGGGAAAUAUAACAUUAUUCAUUUAAUUCCACAAAAGGCCUGUAACGUACUGCAGCUUCCUGCAGGCAACGUGAAACAUUGCUGAGGGAGAACUUUAUUCACAACAAAAGGAUAAAGAUGAAGAGGAGGGACUUGAGCAGCUUGUGAUGGCUGUAAUUGUAAAGAAUGGAUCUUAAGAGUGGCAGCCCAAAGGAUGCUGGAAUUGUUAUUGAGGCCUUAAAGGUGUUCACG